rnacentral:rRNA from 1 species
UGGCGGACGGGUGAGUAAUGUCUGGGAAACUGCCUGAUGGAGGGGGAUAACUACUGGAAACGGUAGCUAAUACCGCAUAACGUCGCAAGACCAAAGAGGGGGACCCUCGGGCCUCUUGCCAUCGGAUGUGCCCAGAUGGGAUUAGCUUGUUGGUGGGGUAACGGCUCACCAAGGCGACGAUCCCUAGCUGGUCUGAGAGGAUGACCAGCCACACUGGAACUGGGACACGGUCCAGACUCCUACGGGAGGCAGCAUG